rnacentral:rRNA from 1 species
UACGAAGGGGGCUAGCGUUGCUCGGAAUCACUGGGCGUAAAGGGUGCGUAGGCGGCCUUCUAAGUCGAACGUGAAAUCCCUGGGCUCAACCCCAGGAACUGCGUCCGAUACUGGAAGGCUUGAAUCCGGGAGAGGGAUGCGGAAUUCCAGGUGUAGCGGUGAAAUGCGUAGAUAUCUGGAGGAAUACCGGUGGCGAAGGCGGCAUCCUGGACCAUUACUGACGCUGAGGAGCGAAAGCGUGGGGAGCCGAACGAGGA